rnacentral:rRNA from 1 species
CGUAGGGUGCGAGCGUUAAUCGGAAUUACUGGGCGUAAAGCGUGCGCAGGCGGUUUGUAAGACAGAGGUGAAAUCCCCGGGCUCAAUCUGGGAACUGCCUUUGUGACUGCAAAGCUGGAGUGCGGCAGAGGGGGAUGGAAUUCCGCGUGUAGCAGUGAAAUGCGUAGAUAUGCGGAGGAACACCGAUGGCGAAGGCAAUCCCCUGGGCCUGCACUGACGCUCAUGCACGAAAGCGUGGGAGCAAACAGGAUU